rnacentral:rRNA from 1 species
AUUGAACGCUGGCGGCAGGCCUAACACAUGCAAGUCGAACGAGUGGCGGACGGGUGAGUAAUGCUUGGGAAUCUGCCUGAUGGAGGGGGAUAACUACUGGAAACGGUAGCUAAUACCGCAUACCAUCAGAUGAACCCAUAUGGGAUUAGCUUGUAGGUGGGGUAACGGCUCACCUAGGCGACGAUCCCUAGCUGGUCUGAGAGGAUGAUCAGCCACACGGGGACUGAGACACGGCCCAGACUCCUACGGGAGGCAGCAGUGGGGAAUAUUGCACAAUGGGCGCAAGCCUGAUGCAGCCAUGCCGCGUGUAUGAAGAAGGCCUUCGGGUUGUAAAGUACUUUCGGUAGGGAGGCGUUAACUACAGAAGAAGCACCGGCUAACUCCGUGCCAGCAGCCGCGGUAAUAC